rnacentral:ncRNA from 2 species
UACGAACUGUGCGAACGUUAUUCGGAAUCACUGGGCUUACAGGGUGCGUAGGCGGCCUUCCAAGUCAGGUGUGAAAUCCCCCGGCUCAACCGGGGAAUGGCGCUUGAAACUGGUUGGCUUGAGUCAGCUAGAGGUACACGGAACUUCCGGUGGAGCGGUGAAAUGUGUUGAUAUCGGAAGGAACACCAGAGGCGAAAGCGGUGUACUGGAGCUGGUCUGACGCUGAGGCACGAAAGCCAGGGGAGCGAACGGG